UUGAAGUAUAUGAUAUAUUUUUCAAGUUCACAUAAUAUAUUUCAUAUACAUUACAUGCAAACCCAUAGAAUGACAAAUAUCCUUUUUUUAGGUAUAUAAACAUGAGAUUUUAUACAUAAUACACCGUUCUUGGGGCUAAUUUCAGGCACACAUAAAUUUAUCAGAUCAUGAAA